UACAGAGGUCUCAAGCGUUGUUCGGAUUCAUUGGGCGUAAAGGGUGCGUAGGCGGCGCGGUAAGUCGGGUGUGAAAUCUUGGAGCUUAACUCCGAAACUGCAUUCGAUACUGCCGUGCUUGAGGACUGGAGAGGAGACUGGAAUUUACGGUGUAGCGGUGAAAUGCGUAGAUAUCGUAAGGAACACCAGUGGCGAAGGCGACUUUCUGGGCUGUAACUGACGCUGGAGGCGCGAAAGCGUGGGGAGCAAACAGG
rnacentral:rRNA from 1 species